rnacentral:rRNA from 1 species
CGGAGGGUGCGAGCGUUGUCCGGAAUCACUGGGCGUAAAGGGCGCGUAGGCGGCCUGGUAAGUAGGGGGUGAAAUCCUGCGGCUUAACCGCAGGGCUGCCUUCUAAACUGUCAGGCUUGAGCACGGUAGAGGCAGAUGGAAUUCCCGGUGUAGCGGUGGAAUGCGUAGAGAUCGGGAAGAACAUCAGUGGCGAAGGCGGUCUGCUGGGCCGUUGCUGACGCUGAGGCGCGACAGCGUGGGGAGCAAACAGGAUUAGAUACCCUGGUAGUCCACGCCGUAAACGAUGGGCACUAGGCGUCGGGGGGAGCGACCCUCCCGGUGCCGUCGCUAACGCAGUAAGUGCCCCGCCUGGGGAGUACGGCCGCAAGGCUG